rnacentral:tRNA from 1 species
GCCUGGGUGGCUCAGUCGGUUAAGCGUCUGACUUUGGCUCAGGUCACGAUCUAGCGGUUUGUGAGUUCGAGCCCCGCGUCGGGCU